UACAAAAGAGACACGCCAAUGGGUGGAAUAGGGAGAGACCUGUGAGCGCAUUCCUCCUCUCUCAGUUUCCCACGCCUCCUCGGGGCAUAAUGAUAGUAGGCUACUCGAGUGCAGUAGAAAACCAUCCGCAUUGGCAGGCACAUUUUUUUUCAACUUCACACGGUCUUUGGGGGACACCUCAGUAGACUGAGGCUGCAGUAUUGAAUAGCCUAUAACCGAAUGCAGUGCCUGUGCAUCACCACCAGAGGACCCCCCCCCCCCCAUGCCUUCUAAGUGUUGGUGCAAUUUACUUUAUUGAGCCGCAGUUUUCUUUCUUUUCUUCCAAUCCUACUCCACACACCUCAAAAGUGCGCGUCUUCCCAUUUUCUGUCCGCUGACCUGAAAACCUGCAUCGGGGCGCAAGAGAGACUCAGCAGACAAAGACCCAGUAUAUCCAGACUGCAGUCAUGGCAACUGAAGGAGAAUUGAUGUUUCAUGAUCAAAGUGACUUUGAAUAUGAUUAUGAGACACUUCGAACUACAGGGGUCAUCAUUGGUGUGAUCUUGUUUGUGUCUGGUAUCCUAAUAGCUCUUAGUAAAAAACUCACAUGCUCAAAAUCGUCUUCCAAGUAAGAGUUUGUACAUGGCUUGGCAGUUGCUCCGCCUGUGCAUGUGGAAUGCAUCAGACUUUGGAAGAGGAGUCCCCACCAAAUACAGGAUGGCUUUACUAAUACUAUUUUACUGUUACCAUGUCUGUCCUUUCCCCCUCUCUCCCUUCCACAGUGGAGCCCAUGUCUGAAUGCUGCCUAUUGGUUAAGAUAAUACAGUCCCGCACUCCCUCCCUAAAUCCAACAACACUGCCCAGCCAUUCAACUAACUAAGCAAUCACCCUACAGAGCAUCAUAUUACAGUCAAAUGUCUCAAGAUAGUCUAGUAGUCUAACUCUGUGACAUCUUUGACAUUUUUGAAAAUCAAGUGUUCUUGUCAACCAAGCAAUAUUAAGGAAAUGUCUGCAUUAGGACUUUUUUGGGGCCCCUAGUUGAGAAUGGGGGCCGUUGUUGCAUGGGUUGGCAGUGUGGGUGGAUGGCCUCAAAGAGUGUAUGUUUACAGCCAAUGGCAUGCGGACCCAGUCUCUUCCUCUCCCCUAACCUUUGAGAGAGGACAUCGAUUGGGAAGAUCCUGACAUAUCUCUGCAUUUUGCCCCAAAUUGAAUCCUGUGAUUGUCAAAGCUUUGUGGCCCCAGCCCCUUCUGUGCAUGGAUACAGUUGACCUAAUCCGUCUAAAAUACCUUCUCUUUGGUCAGAACACACAUGAUCUUGGUUACGUUGUGGUUGUUUCCACAAAGCUUUGAGGUGAACUGAACUGUCGGAACUAUCCAGGAUUGCUUCCUUUAAUUCCCUUUCUCUCCUUGUGUCAGAGUGAAUAACUGUUCUCUUGUCUUCUCGUCUUCAGCUCUAAUCCAGCAGGCACCCAAAUACCAAAGACAGAGGUGCCUCCUCAAACAGUAUAGAUGAAGUGUGCAUGGAGGCGAGGGAGAUUCAUCAUGGGAGGUGCUGCAGAGAGGCCAACACACAUAAUAACACACACUCUCACAUUUAUGGUUGCCACACACCAGCACCCAUUGGAACAUCAAGUAUGAUGCACACCCAGCCCAUGUUGACCAGAAGAAUGACUGAAUUGUCAUUCUUGAUUUAAAUAAAAUGUAUAUCAAGAUGAAGAUGUUACUCUUAACCGUCUUUGUGACUUGUGUAUUAGGUGCUAUCAAUCUACCUUGCCCAGGAGAGAAUGUAAAGUAGCCUUCAGUGCUGAUUUGGGGUUUAUCCUUAUCCCAAUCGGCACCAAAAGCACCUAUAAGCAAAAAAAACAUACCUGGCGCAAGAUCAGCUUUCAGGUGCACUGUAAAUCUAUAUCAUGAUAUGGGUAGUGUUGAAACAGAACUGAAUGCUGUGCUCUCUCUGUUCCUUGCUUUUGACUUCAUGCACACCCAAGAAAGUUGAUUGCAUGUCUCGUUUUACUGUAUAGUACUCUCAAUGCACUUUAGAAAUCUACAACUUUAUCAUCCAGUCGUGAGAGAGUUCUUUUACAUUUAGGAUUUACAUUGGACCUGUAUUAAUAACCUCAAGCAUGAAUUAAGAUAUCAAAACCAACCCCAUUAUCCCACUGUUUUACUGAUGGUUGGCUCAGGAUCUAUCUGCUGUCAUUUUUGAUGGCAUUAAGUGGACUGCCGUGUGUGGUUGUGUUCUAGGUAGCAAUGAGAAGGAUGUCAACCACAUGUCAGAUGUUAAUUUGAAACAGAAGCAGGAAUGAAGUCUCCUAUCAUUCUCUGGGUUCUGUAAGAGGGUGCCACCAGUAUAGUAUUGUAUGUCAACAGCCUUUUUCUUUCUCCUAUUGUAUUUUAAGUUACAUUGCACGAGUAGAAUCAUUCAAAGCGCUAAAAAGGUAUUACCUUGGGUUGAAGGAGCGGGCAUUUUAAAAGUGUAUGAGUUUAAGCUUAAUGAAACGAUCAAUACAUUAAGAUAAGAAGUCACAGUAACUAGCUGCAAAUAAAAUAUGUCUGUAUUAUCAUUAUUUAGAGCUGUUUCUAACUUUCUGCAAGUACAAUGUCUGUUAUUUUCAGAUAUUUUUAUUUACCGGUAUGCAGCACUAGUAAUGCCUGAUACUGAGCCAAUGGCGUAACAGUUAACCAAAAGCAAAUGAGUGAUUCUCACCAGAGCUAACCAAUAAGACAGCUGCUGCAAUAAAAAUCACCCUGUAUACAAUGGUCUUAUUGAUGUAUUGUUUACAGUAAUUUCCCAUAUCUUUUAAUCUGAACCUUGAUCAAUACAUACAUGUGGAUUAAAAUAGAGUAUAAAAUAGAUGACAAAUAGAGAUAUUUGAAGAACAGAUUUAAUUCCAGGGUUAAGUUUAGGCAAUUCAGUUAAUCAGAAGGAUACAUUCAGUGAAAAGUAACAGGAUUAUUACAAUGUUACAAACUGUCAAAGUAGACCCAAGCAGCCAAAAUCACCAGAUUCUCUCGUACCAUUUUUUAACGAUAACAUUAGUUAUUCUCCCUCAUGUUAACUCACCUAUGAUUUAGACCUAGGAACACAUACAGACAUCUCUGUAUGUUCCUUGACUAAGACUGCCCAGGUUCCAAAACUAGGGGAAAUCACAGUCAAGUCUGGGGAAAUGUUGUGUCAUAUCUCCAAUGAGAUGUUUUAUGUUGUUGUAUUUUCU